rnacentral:rRNA from 1 species
UACAGAGGUCCCAAGCGUUGUUCGGAUUCACUGGCGUAAGGUGCGUAGGCGGUCGGUAAGUCUGAUGUGAAUCUCACAGCUUAACUGUGAACUGCAUGAUACUAUCGCUCGAGAAUGAGGAGACUGAUACUGUGUAGCAGUGAAUGCGUAGAUAUCAGUGACACAUGCGAGCGAGUCUCUGCGAACUGACGCUGAGAGCGAAGCGUGGGAGCGACAG